rnacentral:rRNA from 1 species
AACGAACGCUGGCGGCAUGCCUAACACAUGCAAGUCGAACGAAACCUCCGUGUCUAUUGGCGCACGUGUGCGUAACGCCUGGUAACUUGCCCUUAGGUUGGGAAUAACUCCCCGUAAGAUGUGCUAAUACCGGUUAAUCUCAUCCGAGCAAAGACUUAUCGCGUUUGGAUGGGGGCGCGUUGGAUUAGCCAGUUGGUAGUGUACAAGCCUGCCAACGCGACGUUCCAUAGCUGGUCUGUGAGGAUGAUCAUCCGCACUGGAAAUGAGACCCGGCCCAGCCUGGUACGGGAGGCUGGAGUGGGGAGUAUUAGACGAGGGGCGCAAGCGUAGUCAAGCAGUGCCGCGUGAGAGAUGAAGGCCUUAGGGUUGUAAAGCUCUUUGACACGGGAUGAGAAUGACAGUAACGGGAGAAGAAGCACCGGCUAACUCCGUG